rnacentral:rRNA from 1 species
UACGUAGGGCGCAAGCGUUAUCCGGAAUUAUUGGGCGUAAAGAGCUCGUAGGCGGUUUGUCGCGUCUGCCGGUGAAAGUCCGGGCUCAACUCCGGAUCUGCGGUGGUACGGGCAGACUAGAGUGAUGUAGGGGAGACUGGAAUUCCUGGUGUAGCGGUGAAAUGCGCAGAUAUCAGGAGGAACACCGAUGGCGAAGGCAGGUCUCUGGGCAUUAACUGACGCUGAGGAGCGAAAGCAUGGGGGAGCAAACAGG